GAUGAACGCUGGCGGCGUGCCUAAUACAUGCAAGUCGAGCGAACAGACGAGGAGCUUGCUCCUCUGACGUUAGCGGCGGACGGGUGAGUAACACGUGGAUAACCUACCUAUAAGACUGGGAUAACUUCGGGAAACCGGAGCUAAUACCGGAUAAUAUAUUGAACCGCAUGGUUCAAUAGUGAAAGACGGUUUUGCUGUCACUUAUAGAUGGAUCCGCGCCGCAUUAGCUAGUUGGUAAGGGAACGGCUUACCAAGGCAACGAUGCGUAGCCGACAUGAGAGGGUGAUCGGCCACACUGGAACUGAGACACGGUCCAGACUCCUACGGGAGGCCGCAGUAGGGAAUCUUCCGCAAUGGGCGAAAGCCUGACGGAGCAACGCCGCGUGAGUGAUGAAGGUCUUCGGAUCGUAAAACUCUGUUAUUAGGGAAGAACAAAUGUGUAAGUAACUAUGCACGUCUUGACGGUACCUAAUCAGAAAGCCACGGCUAACUACGUG
rnacentral:rRNA from 1 species